UACGUAGGUGGCAAGCGUUGUCCGGAUUUACUGGGCGUAAAGAGCGCGCAGGCGGUCAGAUAAGUCGAAUGUGAAAGCCCCCGGCUCAACUGGGGAGGGUCAUUCGAUACUGUUCGACUCGAAGGCAGGAGAGGGAAGUGGAAUUCCCGGUGUAGUGGUGAAAUGCGUAGAUAUCGGGAGGAACACCAGUGGCGAAGGCGACUUCCUGGCCUGUUCUUGACGCUGAGGCGCGAA
rnacentral:rRNA from 1 species